rnacentral:lncRNA from 1 species
UUUUCUGAUGUGGAUUAAGGCUGCCCCAGCUAGAGAAGCCCAAGGUGACCUGGCCUACGUGCCAAACUAUACGACCCAGUGGACUUUUUUUAUGGUAUGAAUUAGGACUGCCCCAGGGAGAGAAGCCCGGGGCAUCCUCACCUGCAUGCCGAUCUAUAUGGCCAGAUUCGUAUCUAAAGUUAUAUGACCGCACAAUAACCAGACCCCAUCUGCACUGAAAUCAUUUAAUGACUUUUUACAUCAUCUUUUCUUUUUUUUCCAGUAAAAAUAAGUCACGUACCCAUGCCUUAUUAGCCCUAACCCUCAACUCAGGGCAGCAGCAGGAGCUCUGACUGCCCGUGGGUCCUGUCCCCACGCACCAGCUCUGCCUGCCCAUGGGUCCUGUCCCCAUGCCAGCGGGGGCAGCAGCAGCGGCAGCAGCAGGAGCUCUGACUGCCCGUGGGUCCUGUCCCCACGCACCAGCUCUGCCUGCCCAUGGGUCCUGUCCCCAUGCCAGCGGGGGCAGCAGCAGCGGCAGCAGCAGGAGCUCUGACUGCCCGUGGGUCCUGUCCCCACGCACCAGCUCUGCCUGCCCAUGGGUCCUGUCCCCAUGCCAGCGGGGGCAGCAGCAGUGGCAGCAGCAGAAGCUCUGCCUGCCCAUGGGUCCUGUCCCCAUGCUAUUCCACACUAUUCUCUAAAUAAAAGAGCACUACUGCCAGAUCUUGAGAGUCUAAGAAAUCUUUCUUUCGACUCCUCGGCUCACCGAUCCCGCAUCAUUUCUGGUGGCCCGUACGGGGACUUGCUUCAUCGGCUUGUGAGCUCGAGUUCUGGUAAGUGCCCUUUUCUUCCUUAUGCCUUUCUCUUUUUCAAGGAUGGAUCUAGAUUCACUGCUCCAUCGGGAACUUUCUCGGACAGCUGUAUGAAUCCACGUUUGCUGCCCAUGGCUACUCUAUGGGGCAAAUUGUGGCAUUCAGCUUGAAGAGAUUCAGUACCUUAAGCCUCAGGGUGAUGGAGAAUGAAUUAAUCCAUUCCUUCCUGCUCUUUUUCAAGGAUGGAUCUAGAUUCACUGCUCCAUCGGGAACUUUCUUGGAUGGCUGUAUGAAUCCACGUUUGCUGCCCAUGGCUACUCUAUGGGGCAAAUUGUGGCAUUCAGCUUGAAGAGAUUCAGUACCUUAAGCCUCAGGGUGAUGGAGAAUGAAUUAAUCCAUUCCUUCCUGACUCUAUCUCUAAUAGACAAAUUUUACGUGGGCGCGGGUCGGCCACUUAAGUCAUUAGGCCGGCCGCCAAUCUCCAAGACUCCCGUGGAAGGUUUCUUUUCCUAAGGCUGGAUUGGGAUCCCUCCCUCUGCCACCUGACCACGCUCUGAACUGCGAGGAAAGUCCCACUCGGGGCUCCAGUUCAAGGGAAGUACCAAACUCUAACCUUUGGUGGAGUAUGGGAACCCCUUCUUGGGAGAAUGGCUCCAGGAUGCAAUUGGGUAGAAUGUCCCCCAGACUGGCGGAAAAUUCCUCACUGUCUUUCUCUUUCUCACUGUCUUUGUCCUUUUCUCUCCUGGGGACCAUACGCCAGGCACCUAUUACUGCCAGGCAGAAUAGGGAAGAUGUUCAAGGGAUGCCCCCAUCAUCCCUUGCUACAGGAACCCCAAUGGGGGGAUUUUCAAGGUAAUGGCUCCCUUUCUCUGGGACCAUACGCCAGGCACCUAUUACUGUCAGGCAGAAUAGGGAAGAUGUUCAAGGGAUGCCCCCAUCAUCCCUUGCUACAGGAACUCCAUUGGGGGGAUUUUCAAGGUAAUGGCUCCUUUUCUUUCUCCUUUUCUCUCCUGGGGACCAUACGCCAGGCACCUAUUACUGUCAGGCAGAAUAGGGAAGAUGUUCAAGGGAUGCCCCCAUCAUCCCUUGCUACAGGAACUCCAUUGGGGGGAUUUUCAAGGUAAUGGCCCCUUUUCUUUCUCCUUUUCUCUCGGGAACCAUUCACCAGGCCUAUGCUGUCAGGCAGAAUAGGCACCAGGCACCUGUUACUGCCAGGCAUAACAGGGAAGGUAUACAAGGGAUGCAAUGCGGGGGGGCGCCCCCAUCACCCCUUGCUAUAGGAACCCCACAGUAGGAACAACGGGUAGGACGCUGCCCUAGGUUCAGGGGGGAUUUUUCAUGGUAAUGGACCCGUUUCUUUUGUCUCUCUUGGAGUUACAAUGGCAAUUUUCAUCUCCUUUUGAGCCUUGUGACUGGGAAACAAAGAAAUCUUUAAAGAGUAAAAGGCUCCACCCCUGGGAGCCCCAACUUUGGGUUUCUGGGCCUGAUCACCCCAGCAACCCUAAGUGGGGGUGCCCUCUCUUGACAGUUGACUCAUUGAGUAUUUUAGUCACCUACUGAGUCGGUUAUGAGGGUAGGAGACCUGUGAUUUAUUCUGUGAACUGUCAUGCUAGCGUAGUGUGCCCCAGUACAGGAACUGUUGUGUGACUCUUAUCUUGAUAACCCUCUGGAAGAGGCCAUGAGGGUGAGGUCUGAUCUCUUCUUUUCCUUUCUUUGUCUGUUUUGCUCACCAUCUCUUCUGUUGUCACCAAGUAGAGGUUAAGUUCAGGCUAGACCUGAGCAGAACCUUGACCUUCUGUAAAAUUGGAAAAAUAAGCCUUUUGCCAGGGAUUUAACUCUCAAACCUGGCUCUGGGAGCCCCAGCCUCCAGCCAGUUCCAGGCCUUUGCCUCCUGCUUCCCUACCUCAACUUUGCUGGCUCAGAGACAAAGUGCCCAGGCUGAGCGGGACUUGACUAAAUCUUAUAACUAUGUCAACACCCGCAAUCGGCCUCUGCACACCCGCAAUCGGCCUCUGCACCCUUUCUCCAGCUGCUGUCAGUCAGACACUGGCUUUACCGCCACGGGGAAGGCUCCUAAGCAUCCCCAGAGACCCACCCUGUGGAUGCGUUCUAACUCCAUCUGGGAGAAAAUUUGAGGGGUUUCUCUGUGCCUUUGUGAUGCAGUUGGACAGGUAGAUCAACCUGGAAUGUAAUUUGAGUUACAAUCCAGUUUCUGGGAAUCAAGAGCAACUGUCCUUAGAAAAUCCUUGCAAGACUGGAAAUACAGCUCUAGAGGCAGUUCAGAUUCCACCUAGUUCCUUUAUCACAGAAAGGAUUAUCAUCUCCCCUCUCCAGGAACUACUAUCUAGCCCAUCACUAAUUCCUAAGACUGAAAAAAAAAAAAAAAAGAAAGAAAGAAAGAGGAGGGGAGAGGCAAAACGGCCAUAAGCGUGCCCUUGCAAAAAAUCUAGCAUCUUGAGUAUCUUCUCCACAAAUAUUGGUAAAAAACAAUAGCUCUAACAAUAGCUGUGCAGUCUCUGUGUACGUGUGUCUAUGUGUACGUUAUAUGUGUGAUAUUUUACCUCCGGAUGGUGUUACCAAAAUUAAGAGCUCUGUUUAAUUGGCUUCAAGUAAGCGCUUACAUAAAUUCUAAAUGUAGUAGAAAUUAAUCCAAUGUCUUUCAAGUUAACUUGAUGUGAAUUAACUUUUGGCAAAUGAAAGCUUGUUUAAGUUUGUUGGUUUGAUUGAAAAUAGUCUUCUUGUCAGAGUUGUCAGUAUUUGCAUAUGAUGCAGGCAUGCAGCCUGGGUUUACUAGUCAAAUAAGUUCACAUUGUCUGUUAAAUUCGUCAGCAAAAUAAUAGCUUUAAAGGAUGACCAGUUUUGUCUAAUGUCUCAUGAAGUUUUUGUGGGUACAAUAACUGUUUUAUGGUCUGUAUACUUGAAAAAAAAAAAAAAAAAGCUUCCAAAUUGUUUUGAUAACAAUCUUGAGUUUUGCCAAGUUAAGUUAAAUGAUAAAAAUCUGAGCAUCUGGGUCAUUUUUGGAUUGGAUAGCACACAAGCAUUACAGCUAAACUUAUCUAAGUUAUCUACUUUUGGCUUCUUAUUGCAGAGAGGCUAAAAGUCUUUGGGUCUGUUAUUGUAAAGCAGCGUGUUUCUAGAAAUUAUGAAGUGUUUAGAAUGCUGGUAUAAAAGACAAUUCAUAAUUGCUUACCUUUUUAGUGUUUACUAUGGUCUGUUAAGGGUUAAAAGUUCUUAUUAACCUGUAUAAUUAAAGCUACUGGAAAUUAAUAAGGAAAACAGCUCUGUAUCUAAGGAAAGUUAAAAUGUAUGUUUUCAGUAAAGAGGGUAUAAAGAAUGGAAGUAUUUUUGUUUGAUGGGUUAAGAAAGAUAAGUUUGCCCUAAAGUACUAGAAAGGAAAAAAGACAGACUUUGGGACAAGUUCUGAAGGCAAAAAGAAAGUUGUAGAAGGUUUGUGAAGGAGAAAUUCUGAAAGGAGUUUUAUGCCUGGUCAAGUAGACUAAAAUUAGAGUAAAUCCAAUUAAGUGAAUGAGUUUUAAUGUUAAAAAUAAGCUGGUACAGAAAUUAAAAUUUGGUUUCCUCUCAAAGCAUAAUUUUCUUGAACUUUUGGCCUGCUCUAAUAGAGUUAGAACAACAUAGACAGAAAAUCUAUGUUUUGUUAAAAUAAUUUCCUAUAUUCAGAAAGAAAUAGGUCUCUUCUAAAAUUUUUUGACGAUGUUGUUUGCUCUUGACUGUCUCUGUUGUCACUUUGAAUGGAUGCCUGAGCAUUGUUUAACAGUGAUCAUUGUUUCCUAUUUGAACAAGCAUUUUAAAAACUUUUGAUAUUUUUGACAAGCUUCUCCCUCAAAAAAAAUAUUCAAAUCCUGAAUGAAGGCUUUCUUUUGACCUGGUAGAUGGAAGAAGAAUUUCUCUGAGGAUUUUCAGAGGGCCCCUGAGACUUCUCAAAGAAAUUUGCUCUCUUCCUAUAAGGAGGAAAAAUACUAAAUUAAUUAGGUUUAUUUGGUUUAUUAAAUUACAUGGGAAGCAUUGUCAAAUAAGCGAUGAUAAACUUUCUUAUGUGGUAUUACGUGGGUGAAUGUUAUUAAUAUACGUGUCUUAACAUUAUAUAGCAUUCCUAAAAUUCUAAUCUGUUCUGGUUAUCAGUCAUAAUUCCAGUUAUUAUCUUAAAGUGUUAUAUGUCACAGAAAUAGCCAAGUUUCUUUGUCAGUUGCCCUUUUGAGUCUUUUGUCCAUUUGCAGAUAGUUGUUUUACUGUGAUACUUUUUGCUUUUGCAAAUGUUUCGUCUUCAGAGAAAUUCCUGGAAAGGAUUAUGACAAAGGUUCUAAACUAUAGGUUUCUGAUAAACUUUCAGAUUGUAAAACUGAACCGGGUAAGAAAUUACAGAAUUCUAACAGAAACUAAGCUCAUAGACCUGCUAACAGAAGAUUAAGCUCAAGAACUGAUUAUACAGGACUGUGUGAACUGAUGAGGAUGAUUAUAAUUUUUUAUGACUUCUGUUUGAAAUAUUGCUGAGUUUUGAUGUUUUGUUUUGUUUCCUCAUGUUUAAGGAAAUCUUUCUUUCUUUUCUCUUAUGCUAACUAUGACUUACAGCAAUUUAGUGACAUAUAUCUUUAUAAGCAAAACUGAAACAUUUGUCUUUUUCUCCCGACCUGAUCCCUCCAGAAUUUGGAAACUCUUUGUGAGUACGGUUAUUUCGUGGCAAUAUAGUUAUUUGCAUAAGUUCAAUAAGAAUUUGGUCUCCUUAUAACAGGACACAUUGGUUAUCUUACCAAGGCUUUGACUGGAAUGUCAUAUUUGAGAGAAACAUACAGGCUCAGAUAUGACAACACAGCUUUUCAGGAACAAAGAUUGGACAUUCUGGAAUACAGCCACUUGGAAACAUGGGCCUGGUACCUUGUUUACAGAGAUUCUGGCAAUCUUACCCGGUAAGUAAGGAAGCUUGCUUAUCUGGCAGGUGCAAGGAACCUCAGAAUAUUUUGGGGGACCUCGAGAAGAGAGGAGUCCACCCAAACCUGUAGGUACUGCAGGCAAAAUCUGAUGGCAAGUCCUUGGCUUGGCUUUUCUGGCCUCGAGAGGCCUUUACAGUUCAAUCUGAGAUUCUUCAUAAAAAUUCCAGCAAAGCAGAUUUAAAAAGCCUGUAUAAUCAAUUGGUAUUCUUGCUGCACUUAUGUAAAUAAUUGGCAGACCAGUUAAUCUUAAUUUGGCUAUCUUUUAUAAAAAUGAGGGUGAUUUUAGGGAGAAAAAAAUUAUGUUUCAGUAGAAGGUAUAGUACACAUUCAUGGAUAUUAGAUUCUAGCUCUUCUGCAAGAUUCAUCUGUUACUAAUCAUAAUGUUUCCUUGUGGCCAUCCAUCUCUGAUACCUGGGAGUUCCCUGGCCACAAGCAAACCUUUUCCUUCAACACUACUGCCCAAAUACUAACUAGAUUUGCCUUGUCACAGGUGGAUCAUAAACGACAAGUUCCAAAGGUAAAGUCCCCAAUUUAUUGAUACACACAGGAUGGACUAUAUCAAAUUUGGGACGAAUAUAUUUGGCUCACUCCUGCUAGUGAUCAACUCAGUAAAAGUCCACUCUAUGUUGGGAACAAACCAAUCACACCUGUGAUACAUGGCCUAAUAGCACCCGACCUAUGGGAAAAUUCCCUGUCAUAUGUGUUCUCAUAUCAUAACCUUAAAAAAUACUGAUUGGUUUGAGACUGACUGGGAUAGACGACCAAGCACACGUUGGUUAGCCCCUAAUGGCACUCAGUGGCUAUGUGGCUCCAACUUAUGGCCUUGGCUGCCACCUGGAUGGAUUGGACGAUGCACCCUAGGCUUUGUCUGGAUGCAAGGUAGAACUACAUUUACUAUAUCUCCUCCUGCUAACCUACCCAACCUGCAACAGCGCUGGACCCGCUCUGUCUUCCACUGGUAUGACCACGUUGCCUCAAUUUUCCUUCCCCAGUUAGGAAUCGAAAGUGUCAUCUGGCCCAUGGAAGCUCUAAACAAAUUUACUAUGAAAGCAUUAAAAUGAUACACAACAUAGCCUUUCGCUGCUCGAUUUAGAAGUGUCCCAAAUGCGUAAGGCAGUCCUCCAAAACUGAAUGGCACUGGAUGUCUUGACAGCAGCACAGGGGGGCACCUGCGCCAUUAUAAAAACUGAAUGUUGUGUCUAUAUUCCUGACUACCAUCAAAAUAUCUCCGGCUUCCUGUCUGAUAUGAGCCACCAAAUUAAGUCCAUGUCUGACCCUCCCCUAUCUCUAAAUGACUGGUUGAACUCCUGGUCAGGACCAGGUUUCUGGACUGCUACCAAAACCUUAUUCAUUGGGUUAAUCAUACUGCUUAUAUUUCUUAUUAUAAUUUGUUGUCUGUUUCGUUGUUUGUCUUCCGCAUGUCAACAAAGUUUCACCUCCUGGACCACCUCUCGUCAACUGAUUCUCUCGUCCCCAGAGGCUCUGGAUGCCUUGUCAGCCUUGGACUCCACGGGUGCAGCCUUCCGGUCCACUGAACUUCCUACCUAUACCUAUGGCCCCAUUUAGGGACAGCUCUACGACCUUGUACAGCCGGAAGUAGUUACAGAAGACUGACCGUCGUCCAUAUCCCCAAAAGAUUUUGGGGCCAAAUGGGUUCAGGGGGGGUUUAUGAUGUGGAUUAAGGCUGCCCCAGCUAGAGAAGCCCAAGGUGACCUGGCCUACGUGCCAAACUAUACGACCCAGUGGACUUUUUUUAUGGUAUGAAUUAGGACUGCCCCAGGGAGAGAAGCCCGGGGCAUCCUCACCUGCAUGCCGAUCUAUAUGGCCAGAUUCGUAUCUAAAGUUAUAUGACCGCACAAUAACCAGACCCCAUCUGCACUGAAAUCAUUUAAUGACUUUUUACAUCAUCUUUUCUUUUUUUUCCAGUAAAAAUAAGUCACGUACCCAUGCCUUAUUAGCCCUAACCCUCAACUCAGGGCAGCAGCAGGAGCUCUGACUGCCCGUGGGUCCUGUCCCCACGC